rnacentral:rRNA from 1 species
GAACCUGAAACCGUGUACGUACAAGCAGUGGGAGCCUCUUUUAUGGGGUGACUGCGUACCUUUUGUAUAAUGGGUCAGCGACUUAUAUUCUGUAGCAAGGUUAACCGAAUAGGGGAGCCGAAGGGAAACCGAGUCUUAACUGGGCGUUAAGUUGCAGGGUAUAGACCCGAAACCCGGUGAUCUAGCCAUGGGCAGGUUGAAGGUUGGGUAACACUAACUGGAGGACCGAACCGACUAAUGUUGAAAAAUUAGCGGAUGACUUGUGGCUGGGGGUGAAAGGCCAAUCAAACCGGGAGAUAGCUGGUUCUCCCCGAAAGCUAUUUAGGUAGCGCCUCGUGAAUUCAUCUCCGGGGGUAGAGCACUGUUUCGGCAAGGGGGUCAUCCCGACUUACCAACCCGAUGCAAACUGCGAAUACCGGAGAAUGUUAUCACGGGAGACACACGGCGGGUGCUAACGUCCGUCGUGAAGAGGGAAACAACCCAGACCGCCAGCUAAGGUCCCAAAGUCAUGGUUAAGUGGGAAACGAUGUGGGAAGGCCCAGACAGCCAGGAUGUUGGCUUAGAAGCAGCCAUCAUUUAAAGAAAGCGUAAUAGCUCACUGGUCGAGUCGGCCUGCGCGGAAGAUGUAACGGGGCUAAACCAUGCACCGAAGCUGCGGCAGCGACACUGUGUGUUGUUGGGUAGGGGAGCGUUCUGUAAGCCUGUGAAGGUGUACUGUGAGGUAUGCUGGAGGUAUCAGAAGUGCGAAUGCUGACAUAAGUAACGAUAAAGCGGGUGAAAAGCCCGCUCGCCGGAAGACCAAGGGUUCCUGUCCAACGUUAAUCGGGGCAGGGUGAGUCGACCCCUAAGGCGAGGCCGAAAGGCGUAGUCGAUGGGAAACAGGUUAAUAUUCCUGUACUUGGUGUUACUGCGAAGGGGGGACGGAGAAGGCUAUGUUGGCCGGGCGACGGUUGUCCCGGUUUAAGCGUGUAGGCUGGUUUUCCAGGCAAAUCCGGAAAAUCAAGGCUGAGGCGUGAUGACGAGGCACUACGGUGCUGAAGCAACAAAUGCCCUGCUUCCAGGAAAAGCCUCUAAGCAUCAGGUAACAUCAAAUCGUACCCCAAACCGACACAGGUGGUCAGGUAGAGAAUACCAAGGCGCUUGAGAGAACUCGGGUGAAGGAACUAGGCAAAAUGGUGCCGUAACUUCGGGAGAAGGCACGCUGAUAUGUAGGUGAAGCGACUUGCUCGUGGAGCUGAAAUCAGUCGAAGAUACCAGCUGGCUGCAACUGUUUAUUAAAAACACAGCACUGUGCAAACACGAAAGUGGACGUAUACGGUGUGACGCCUGCCCGGUGCCGGAAGGUUAAUUGAUGGGGUCAGCGCAAGCGAAGCUCUUGAUCGAAGCCCCGGUAAACGGCGGCCGUAACUAUAACGGUCCUAAGGUAGCGAAAUUCCUUGUCGGGUAAGUUCCGACCUGCACGAAUGGCGUAAUGAUGGCCAGGCUGUCUCCACCCGAGACUCAGUGAAAUUGAACUCGCUGUGAAGAUGCAGUGUACCCGCGGCAAGACGGAAAGACCCCGUGAACCUUUACUAUAGCUUGACACUGAACAUUGAGCCUUGAUG